AAGCAGCAGUUAUCCCUUUCCAAUCUGGCUUGUGAAACUCUAUAGGGAGUCAAUCUGCAAUAGUUAAGUGGUUAGUUCUUCUGUCUAGGAUCAGUGUUUUCUUGGUGACUUUGGAGUUGCCAUAUGUUA
ensembl:snoRNA